AUGUUCCUAGAAAGCUUUUGGGAUAAGCAAGAGAAAUUCAAGGUGUGGAUGACAUCUCCCGAGUGGAAAAAUAGUUCAUGGAGUUCCGAGGUUGAUUAUGACUACACAUAUGAUUGUUUGACAAGUAGGAAAUGGUGGGAUGACGUGAAGAUGGUGUUAGAUGUAAUCGGCCCAAUGUAUACAAUACUUCGAUAUGCUGAUUCACAGAAGCUUGGGUCACUUUCUGGAUUUAUGACAAAGAUGAUGCAGGCUAGGCAUCACUUGAGUUCUUCUUUUCCUGAAGAAUCUCUAGACCAACAGAAGUACCCAAAGGUGGUCGACAAAAGGGUCGAGCAUUUAUACCAAAAUACAUUUAUGGUUGCAGCUUGA
rnacentral:rRNA from 1 species